UACGUAGGUGGCAAGCGUUGUCCGGAAUUAUUGGGCGUAAAGCGCGCGCAGGCGGCCUCUUAAGUCUGAUGUGAGAGCCCCCGGCUCAACCGGGGAGGGCCAUUGGAAACUGGGAGGCUUGAGUAUAGGAGAGAAGAGUGGAAUUCCACGUGUAGCGGUGAAAUGCGUAGAGAUGUGGAGGAACACCAGUGGCGAAGGCGACUCUUUGGCCUAUAACUGACGCUGAGGCGCGAAAGCGUGGGGAGCAACAGG
rnacentral:rRNA from 1 species